AUUGAACGCUAGCGGGAUGCCUUACACAUGCAAGUCGAACGGCGUGGCGAACGGGGGAGUAAUGUCUGGGAAGGUGCCCAUUAGCAGGGGAUAACUCAGCGAAGGAGUAGCUAAUACCGCAUACUAUUAGAGCGGCUGAGAUCGGAUUAGCUAGUUGGUGGGGUAACGGCUCACCAAGGCGACGAGCCGUAGCUGCUUUGAGAGGACGACCAGCCACACUGGGACUGAGACACGGCCCAGACUCCUACGUGAGGCAGCAGUGGGGAAUUUUGGGCAAUGGGUGAAACUCUGAUCGAGCCAUGCCGCGUGUGCGAUGAAGGCCUUCGGAUUGUAAAGCACUGUUGGCAGGGAAGCGGUACCUACAGAAUAAGCACCGGCUAACUACGUGCCAGCAGCCGCGGUAAUAC
rnacentral:rRNA from 1 species